CAAUUUAAUCUUUCAUACCUUUUUGUUUUGGUUUGAUGAAUAUGAAUAUUUGGUUGAAUCGGCUGAGAAUUAGUGUUGGACCCACUAAACCCAUAUUUUUGUUAUCUAUGAUUUUCUUCUUUUUUUCGGAAAGAGAGGAUCCAAUUUAUUUUUAUUUUGAAGAUUGGGAGGUUUAACAGAAAAAUUUGUAAUUGAAAAGGUCAUAAUAAUAAAUUUUCAUCCCACAAUCAGAGAAAGGGGCAUUCCUGAUUAUAGGCAGAAUGGUUACGGGUGCUAAUGCCUAAUGCUCUUGGGGCAGUGGCAUAGUGCGGCCAGUGAAUAACCCUAAAAUGAGGUGACUCCUGUGGUUUAGGGAUGGAGAUGGAUUUUGUUAUAAUACCUGAUUUGGAGAGAUGGAGGGCGAGCCCUGGUGCAGCGGUAAAGUUGUGCCUUGGUGACUUGUUGGUCAUGGGUUCGAAUCCGGAAACAGUCUCUUUGCAUAUGCAAGGGUAAGGCUGCGUACAACAUCCCUCCCCCAUACUUUCGCAUAGCGAAGAGCCUCUGGGCAAUGGGGUACGAAGAAGUUUUUUACCUGAUUUGGAGAGAUAUGAUCUGCUUUUUACCCUCCUCUAGAAGAUAUAGAGGUCUUUUGGCGGGGCUGAGAUAACCAGUUGUUUCAUUUGGACCUCCUAACCAGUAUGUCCUAUCUUAGUAUAGGACAUAAAAAGCGUGUAUAUGGUUUUGCAUUGAAACCAGAGAACGCGCAUGAGAAACAUGUUAUAGUUAACGUUUUUUGGUGGGGCUGAGAUGAAAAACGUGUAUUUGGAUCUCCUCUUGAAGAUAUAGUGGUCUUUUGGUAAGGCUGAGAUAACCAGUUGUUUCAUUUAGACUUCCUAACCAGUAUGUCUCGAAGCUGAAAUCUUAGUAUAGGACGCAAAGCGCAUAUUUGGUUUUGCACUGAAAGCAGAGAAUGUGCAUGAAAAAUGUGUUAUAGUUAAUCUUUUUUGGUGGGGCAGAGAUGAAAAAUGUGUAUUUGGAUCUCCUCUAGAAGAUAUAGUGGUCUUUUGGUGGGGUUGAGAUAACCAGUUGUUUCAUUUGGACCUCUUAACCGUCCUGAAGCCGAAAUCUUAGUAUAGGACACAAAGCGUUUUGCAUUGAAACCAGAGAACGCACAUGAAAAAUGUGUAAAAGUUAACGUUCCAGGAAGUUGCCUCAUUAUCAACGCAUAAAAGUGAAUUGAUUUUUGUGAAAGUAACGCUGAACCAAACAUACUGAAAAUCUGGCGGUGAUAGUUAUCUGAGCCUUGUUUUCUUAUUCUUUUUAACUCUUGAUGGUGACAUACAACUACAUCUUCUUCAAAUUAGUAACUGAGAAGUAAGUUGAUGUUUUCUAUUUCUUGUGUAAUGCACACAUGAUUACUGAUUUCUUACGCACAAAAAUGCUUGAAGAAUUUGCAACUGUAUUGCUAUGUGUCUGAUAUGCUGCUUAUUCAAUGGUUCUGUCACUUGUUGGACUUUUAAUUUCAACAAUAGUAAAUACUAAAUAUUAAUUUUCAGGUGC
rnacentral:lncRNA from 1 species